rnacentral:rRNA from 1 species
GACGAACGCUGGCGGCGUGCUUAACACAUGCAAGUCGAACGGAAAGGCCCUGCUUUUGUGGGGUGCUCGAGUGGCGAACGGGUGAGUAACACGUGAGUAACCUGCCCUUGACUUUGGGAUAACUUCAGGAAACUGGGGCUAAUACCGGAUAGGAGCUCCUGCUGCAUGGUGGGGGUUGGAAAGUUUCGGCGGUUGGGGAUGGACUCGCGGCUUAUCAGCUUGUUGGUGGGGUAGUGGCUUACCAAGGCUUUGACGGGUAGCCGGCCUGAGAGGGUGACCGGCAACAUUGGGACUGAGAUACGGCCCAGACGCCUACGGGAGGCAGCAGUGGGGAAUAUUGCACAAUGGGCGGAAGCCUGAGGCAGCAACGCCGCGUGCGGGAUGACGGCCUUCGGGUUGUAAACCGCUUUCGCCUGUGACGAAGCGUGAGUGACGGUAAUGGGUAAAGAAGCAACGGCUAACUACGU